GGUGAAGGAAGCCACCAUAGAGGGGGAUGGCUCAUGGGUGUCUAGGAGGAGGUAGAGGAUGGAGAAGAUAUGGAUAAGGAGAAAGUAGAGGAGGAAAAUAGAGAGGUCACUAGCUAAGAAUAAAUAGAGAUGGAGGAAGCCACCAUAAAGGAGAAGGGCUCAUGGGCGAGCUUGGAAGAGAAGGAGGAGAAGAGGGCGAGGAGGAAGGGGAG
rnacentral:lncRNA from 1 species